rnacentral:pre_miRNA from 1 species
UGUAUUACUUGGUGACCUCUGUGUGGAAUAGAUUAACAUUACAAGGGUCACUGAGUGAUAUAAU